UGAGGAACAUGACCUUCGGCGGGGGAUAGCCGGCCCAACGGCCGGGUAGUACCGCGUACGACCACAUGGGGACAUCUCUGAGUGGUGAAAGCAGCAAUGCGCCGAUGGAGUGCCUCGCGGCCUAUCAGCUUAGGUUGGUGAGGUAACGCUCACAAGGCAACGGACGGGUAGCUGGUCUGAGAGGAUCGGCCAGCCAUAGUUGGGACUGGAACGACCACCGGGCCCAAGUACUCCCGGUAACGGGGG
rnacentral:rRNA from 1 species